GACGAACGCUGGCGGCGCGCUUAACACAUGCAAGUCGAACGGAAAGGCCUGCUUUCCCUUGUGGAUUGCGGGUACUCGAGUGGCGAACGGGUGAGUAACACGUGAGUGAUCUGCCCCCAACUUGGGUAUAAGCCUGGGAAACUGGGUCUAAUUCCCGAUAGGACUGCAGGGUGGUGCCUGUGGUGGAAAACGAUUUUCUAGUGGUUGGGGAUGAGCUCGCGGCCUAUCAGCUUGUUGGUGGGGUAAUGGCCUACCAAGGCGGCGACGGGUAGCCGGCCUGAGAGGGUGGACGGCCACAUUGGGACUGAGGUACGGCCCAGACUCCUACGGGAGGCAGCAGUGGGGAAUAUUGCACAAUGGGCGGAAGCCGGAUGCAGCGACGCCGCGUGGGGGAUGACGGCCUUCGGGUUGUAAACUCCUUUCGACCGCGAGGAAGCCACCUGGUUGGAAGGGUGGUGACGGUAGUGGUAGAAGAAACACCGGCUAACUACGU
rnacentral:rRNA from 1 species